AAAUACUCUGCUUAACCUGUCAUCAGUAUAACCUGACGUUAGAUAUGCAGAAGACAAUGGACAGAAGUAGAACCACUAUGAGCAAAGGAGGAAGAGUUAUUAUGAAAAAACAAAGAAUAACAGGCCAGAACACAAAGAAGAAAAUAAGUGGAUUACCAGGAUUACCUGAUCUCCCAAAAGAAAGGAACAUGAUGUGACCAUCUGAACACACAAACUGGGAUCAGAAGUCUGU